AUAACGGUCCUAAGGUAGCGAAAUUCCUUGUCGGGUAAGUUCCGACCCGCACGAAUGGCGUAACGAUGGCCACACUGUCUCCUCCCGAGACUCAGCGAAGUUGAAGUGGUUGUGAAGAUGCAAUCUACCCGCUGCUAGACGGAAAGACCCCGUGAACCUUUACUGUAGCUUUGCAUUGGACUUUGAAGUCACUUGUGUAGGAUAGGUGGGAGGCUUAGAAGCAGAGACGCCAGUCUCUGUGGAGCCGUCCUUGAAAUACCACCCUGGUGUCUUUGAGGUUCUAACCCAGACCCGUUAUCCGGGUCGGGGACCGUGCAUGGUAGGCAGUUUGACUGGGGCGGUCUCCUCCCAAAGAGUAACGGAGGAGUUCGAAGGUUACCUAGGUCCGGUCGGAAAUCGGACUGAUAGUGCAAUGGCAAAAGGUAGCUUAACUGCGAGACCGACAAGUCGAGCAGGUGCGAAAGCAGGACAUAGUGAUCCGGUGGUUCUGUAUGGAAGGGCCAUCGCUCAACGGAUAAAAGGUACUCCGGGGAUAACAGGCUGAUUCCGCCCAAGAGUUCAUAUCGACGGCGGAGUUUGGCACCUCGAUGUCGGCUCAUCACAUCCUGGGGCUGUAGUCGGUCCCAAGGGUAUGGCUGUUCGCCAUUUAAAGUGGUACGUGAGCUGGGUUUAAAACGUCGUGAGACAGUUUGGUCCCUAUCUGCAGUGGGCGUUGGAAGUUUGACGGGGGCUGCUCCUAGUACGAGAGGACCGGAGUGGACGAACCUCUGGUGUACCGGUUGUCACGCCAGUGGCAUCGCCGGGUAGCUAAGUUCGGAAGAGAUAAGCGCUGAAAGCAUCUAAGCGCGAAACUCGCCUGAAGAUGAGACUUCCCUCGCGGUUUAACCGCACUAAAGAGUCGUUCGAGACCAGGACGUUGAUAGGUGGGGUGUGGAAGCGCGGUAACGUGUGAAGCUAACCCAUACUAAUUGCUCGUGAGGCUUGACUCU
rnacentral:rRNA from 1 species